rnacentral:rRNA from 1 species
AUUGAACGCUGGCGGCAGGCCUAACACAUGCAAGUCGAGCGAGCGGCGGACGGGUGAGUAAUUUCUGGGAAACUGCCUGAUGGAGGGGGAUAACUACUGGAAACGGUAGCUAAUACCGCAUACCAUCAGAUGUGCCCAGGUGGGAUUAGCGAGUAGGUGGGGUAACGGCUCACCUAGGAGACGAUCCCUGGCUGGUCUGAGAGGAUGACCAGCCACACGGGAACGGAGACACGGUCCAGACUCCUACGGGAGGCAGCGGGGGGGAAUAUUGCACAAGGGGCGAAAGCCUGAUGCAGCCAUGCCGCGUGUGUGAAGAAGGCCUUCGGGUUGUAAAGCACUUUCAGCGGGGAGGCGUUACCCGCAGAAGAAGCACCGGCUAACUCCGUGCCAGCAGCCGCGGUAAUA